GGUUAGCACUCCCCUUGAUAAGGAUGGAAGAGGUCCUAGUAAUCUUUACAACACACAUAUGGUUAAGGCAUUGCCACUGAUUUUGUGGCAUCUAACAUCUUUAAUGU
ensembl:snRNA